AACGAACGCUGGCGGCAGGCUAAACACAUGCAAGUCGAACGCCCCGCAAGGGGAGUGGCCGACGGGUGAGUAACGCGUGGGAACAUACCCUUUUCUACGGAAUAGCUCCGGGAAACUGGAAUUAAUACCGUAUACGCCCUACGGGGGAAAGAUUUAUCGGGGAAGGAUUGGCCCGCGUUGGAUUAGCUAGUUGGUGGGGUAAAGGCCUACCAAGGCGACGAUCCAUAGCUGGUCUGAGAGGAUGAUCAGCCACAUUGGGACUGAGACACGGCCCAAACUCCUACGGGAGGCAGCAGUGGGGUAUAUUGGACAAUGGGCGCAAGCCUGAUCCAGCCAUGCCGCGUGAGUGAUGAAGGCCUUAGGGUUGUAAAGCUCUUUCACCGAUGAAGAUAAUGACGGUAGUCGGAGAAGAAGCCCCGGCUAACUUCGUG
rnacentral:rRNA from 1 species